AUCUAUAGCCAUGCCACCCUGAACAUGCCCAAUCUUGGAAGCUAAGCAGGGUUGGUCCUGGUUAGUACUUGAAUGGGAAACAGUCAGAGAAUACUGGUUGCUGUAGGCU
ensembl:rRNA 5S_rRNA 5S ribosomal RNA